CUAAUACAUGCAAGUCGAGCGGUAGAGAGGUGCUUGCACCUCUUGAGAGCGGCGGACGGGUGAGUAAUACCUAGGAAUCUGCCUGGUAGUGGGGGAUAACGUUCGGAAACGGACGCUAAUACCGCAUACGUCCUACGGGAGAAAGCAGGGGACCUUCGGGCCUUGCGCUAUCAGAUGAGCCUAGGUCGGAUUAGCUAGUUGGUGAGGUAAUGGCUCACCAAGGCUACGAUCCGUAACUGGUCUGAGAGGAUGAUCAGUCACACUGGAACUGAGACACGGUCCAGACUCCUACGGGAGGCAGCAGUGGGGAAUAUUGGACAAUGGGCGAAAGCCUGAUCCAGCCAUGCCGCGUGUGUGAAGAAGGUCUUCGGAUUGUAAAGCACUUUAAGUUGGGAGGAAGGGCAUUAACCUAAUACGUUAGUGCUUUGACGUUACCGACAGAAUAAGCACCGGCUAACUCUGUGCCAGCAGCCGCGGUAAUACAGAGGGUGCAAGCGUUAAUCGGAAUUACUGGGCGUAAAGCGCGCGUAGGUGGUUUGUUAAGUUGAAUGUGAAAUCCCCGGGCUCAACCUGGGAACUGCAUCCAAAACUGG
rnacentral:rRNA from 2 species